rnacentral:rRNA from 1 species
GACGAACGCUGGCGGCGUGCUUAACACAUGCAAGUCGAACGGAAAGGCCCUGCUUUUGUGGGGUGCUCGAGUGGCGAUCGGGUGAGUAACACGUGAGUAACCUGCCCUUGACUUUGGGAUAACUUCAGGAAACUGGGGCUAAUACCGGAUAGGAGCUCCUGCUGCAUGGUGGGGGUUGGAAAGUUUCGGCGGUUGGGGAUGGACUCGCGGCUUAUCAGCUUGUUGGUGGGGUAGUGGCUUACCAAGGCUUUGACGGGUAGCCGGCCUGAGAGGGUGACCGGCCACAUUGGGACUGAGAUACGGCCCAGACUCCUACGGGAGGCAGCAGUGGGGAAUAUUGCACAAUGGGCGGAAGCCUGAGGCAGCAACGCCGCGUGCGGGAUGACGGCCUUCGGGUUGUAAACCGCUUUCGCCUGUGACGAAGCGUGAGUGACGGUAAUGGGUAAAGAAGCACCGGCUAACUACGUG